UGGGGUAUGGUGUAAUUGGCAGCACGCGUGAUUCUGGUUCAUUAAGUCGAGGUUCGAGUCCUUGUACCCCAG
rnacentral:tRNA from 1 species